CAGCCGCCGCGGGAAUACGUAGGGUGCAAGCGUUGUCCGGAAUUAUUGGGCGUAAAGAGCUCGUAGGCGGUUUGUCGCGUCUGCUGUGAAAUCCCGAGGCUCAACCUCGGGCUUGCAGUGGGUACGGGCAGACUAGAGUGCGGUAGGGGAGACUGGAAUUCCUGGUGUAGCGGUGGAAUGCGCAGAUAUCAGGAGGAACACCGAUGGCGAAGGCAGGUCUCUGGGCCGCAACUGACGCUGAGGAGCGAAAGCAUGGGGAGCGAACAGGAUUAGAUACCCCUGUAGUCCCUGUCUCUUAUAC
rnacentral:rRNA from 1 species